AUUACCGAGUGAGGGCCCUCUGGGUCCAACCUCCCACCCGUGUUUAUUUACCUUGUUGCUUCGGCGAGCCUGCCUUUUGGCUGCCGGGGGACGUCAGUCCCCGGGUCCGUGCUCGCCGGAGACACCUUAGAACUCUGUCUGAAGAUUGUAGUCUGAGAUUAAAUAUAAAUUAUUUAAAACUUUCAACAACGGAUCUCUUGGUUCCGGCAUCGAUGAAGAACGCAGCGAAAUGCGAUACGUAAUGUGAAUUGCAGAAUUCAGUGAAUCAUCGAGUCUUUGAACGCACAUUGCGCCCUCUGGUAUUCCGGAGGGCAUGCCUGUCCGAGCGUCAUUGCUGCCCUCAAGCACGGCUUGUGUGUUGGGCCCCGUCCUCCUUCCGGGGGACGGGUCCGAAAGGCAGCGGCGGCACCGCGUCCGGUCCUCAAGCGUAUGGGGCUUUGUCACUCGCUUUGUAGGCCUGGCCGGCGCUUGCCGAUCAACCAAACUUUUUAUCAGGUUGACCUCGGAUCAGGUAGGGAUACCCGCUGAACUUAAGCAUAUCA
rnacentral:rRNA from 1 species